GACGAACGCUGACGGCGUGCUUAACACAUGCAAGUCGAACGAUGAACUUGGAGCUUGCUCUGGGGGAUUAGUGGCGAACGGGUGAGUAACACGUGAGUAACCUGCCCUGGACUCUGGGAUAACUUCGAGAAAUCGGAGCUAAUACCGGAUAGGACCUUGCACCGCAUGGUGUGGGGUGGAAAGUUUUUCGGUUUGGGAUGGACUCGCGGCCUAUCAGCUUGUUGGUGAGGUAAUGGCUCACCAAGGCGUCGACGGGUAGCCGGCCUGAGAGGGUGACCGGCCACACUGAGACUGAGACACGGCCCAGACUCCUACGGGAGGCAGCAGUGGGGAAUAUUGCACAAUGGGCGCAAGCCUGAUGCAGCAACGCCGCGUGCGGGAUGACGGCCUUCGGGUUGUAAACCGCUUUUAGUAGGGAAGAAGCCUUCGGGUGACGGUACCUGCAGAAAAAGGACCGGCUAACUACGUGCCAGCCGCCGCUGUAACAC
rnacentral:rRNA from 1 species